AGGAGGAAGUACAAGAGUGAGAAUAAGUGAACGCAGAAGGGCUGGAAGAUGAAGCAGACUGCAGUUGGUUCUCGCUGACACGCUCCACCAAGGAGGACCCGUGUGAGGAGAAAAUGCACCUGCUGCUGCUGUUCUAUCUCCUCCGCCGGCUCGCAGGCUCAUCUGCCAUCACUGGCCCAAAAGCAGUGAGCGGCCUAGAGGGAGACUCGUUGACUGUGAAGUGUCAAUACAGCCCUGGGUGGGAGACGCAUGAGAAGUGGUGGUGCCGAGGAGCUGCUUGGAGCAGCUGCGAAUUCGUCGUUAAAACCACUGAACCAGAGAAGGAGGUGAAGAAGGGCCGCGUGUCCAUCAGGGACAAUAGGAAAAGCCGCACCAUCGCCGUGACCAUGGAGAAGCUCAGGCUAAACGAUGCAGACACUUACUGGUGUGGGAUUGAGAGAUUUGGAACUGACCUUGGGGUCCGAGUUAAAGUGACCAUUAACCCAGCACCCAGCGCAGUGCCGGCCACCACUCCUGCCACCUCUGCUAUCAACGUGUUCACAGUGUCGGUCAACCUGGAAGAGACCAGUGACUCCCUGGCUGUAACCAGCCCCGACUCCAACAGCGGCAGUGUGUUCCUGAAGGCCAACACCCUCCUUCCCUUCAUCUUUGUUGUGCUGCUUCUUCUCUUGAUGGUGACCUCACUUGUGGUUUGGAGAAUGAUGAAACAACAGAAGAAAGCUGCUGAGAUAUCCCCAGAGCAGGCGCUUCAGCCCAAGGAGGGCGACAUCUGCUACGCAAACCUGAGCCUGCCGCAGACUGAAAACUCUGUGUCGUCCCAGAAGAAGGCUUCCACGAGGUCCUCUUCCCCCGCCCAGGCCAACACGGAGGAAGUGGAGUAUGUCACCAUGACUCCCUUUCUCAGGGAGGACAUUGCCCGUGCAGCUCUGUCUUUGGAAACCUCAGAUCAAGAGCCAACCUAUAGCAACAUGGAGCACCUCAUCACCUGCAUUCCCAGCAGGAGCCAUGAGGAACCCACAGAAUACAGCGCCAUCAGGAAGCCUUAGCCUGCGCUCCAGGGGCCCCUCUCAGACCCACUCGAGGCCUCUGAGAGGGAGGCAAGAAGGUCACAGAGGAGAAGACAGUGUGAUGGUGGGAGCAAAGGUCGGAGUGAUGCAGCCAGGGCCCGCAGAACGCCGCAGCCUCCAGGAGCUGAAAAGGCAGGAACGGAUCCUCCCCAGAGCCCCCGGAAGGAGCCAGCCCGGCUGACGUCUUGACUUUAGCCCAGUGAAACUGAUUUCAUACUUCUGGUCUCCAGAAUUGGUCCUGGCAGCUCUCCCUCUGGAAUCCUGAAUCUCAUCCCAGCUUGCCAUCUCCAUGGUUACCAAACUAGUCCAGUUCCCGGCCUGGAGUCCCUCUUGUUCUCUGCUCCUGAGUCCAGUCUCCUCCUAGCAGCCAGAGGGAUCUUUUUAAAGCACAGACCUGAUCACUCCCUGCUUGUAACCUUCCAGUGGCUUCUUCCACAGCCCGAGGCCCCCAGGGUCCAUGGGUCCCUGCCUGCCCCUAAGACCCUCUCUCUGGCUACUCUGCCUCUCACUUGCCCUGCUCUGCCCACACUGGACUUUCUUCCAUCCUUCUAACAAGAUAAUACGUGGUCCCUUCUCAGGGCGUUGACACUUGCUAUUCCUUCUUUCUGGAAUGCUCUUCCAACGGAUAUGUGAAUAGUUAGGUUUGCCAAAGAGAGAGAAAGGCAG